GGAUACACCAUUUAAUGGGGAGAAACUAAGGUAUGGCUAUCUUAAAUAUCUGUCCUCUUAAAUGUAGUAAAUCAGUCUAUCAAGUUUUACCAUUACUUGAAGGUCCACUGAAGAACAGAUUAGCAACAUUGUGGAAACCAAGUCAACAAGUAACGAUCUCUGCUAUUGACGAAAACCGCUUCAUGUUUCAGUUUUACCAUUACUGGGACAUGGAAAGAGUCUUCCAUGGAGGUCCGUGUGGUUGUUUGAUAACUACAUGCUGGUGUUGAGGAAGUUAUCCUUUGGCACUACAGUGCCAUUGGACACAGCUGAUAUAUGGGUGCAGGUACACCAACUCCCUUUCGGAUUCAUGAACGAGCAGAUCGGUGUGUUGAUAGGUAGUCAUAUUGGUGGUUCAAUCACGUACGAAGAUAGCAACAACUACGGUCCAUGGAGAAAGUAUAUGAGAUUAAGAGUAGCUGUCAACACUUAAGAACCACUAUAAAAAGAGUGGAGUUUUGAACUGGAUCAAGGUGCAGAGGUAAAGGUUUUGUUUAAAUAUAUGAAAAACUGGCCAACUUCUGUUUUUUUUUGUGGAAUUUUGGGACACACAGAAAGCUUUUGUAACAAAAAGCAUGAUCCUGGCUUUAACAAUAGUGAGAAGAUGUGGGGCAAUUUUAUUAGAGCUGAAAGUGGUUAUUUAGGAGGAGGUAAUUCUGUAUACAUGUGGCUGCGAGGGGGUCCAAACGACACUAUUGGAGGACGAAAUGCAGGUGCUAUGCUAAUGCUCAGAAUGGUCCAUCUGGAAGGAAAAACAAUGACAUUCUCUAUUUGGACGCGUCAAAGUUGUGUCCGAUCCAAAAUCAAAGGCGUUGGCUUUCUUUAUGGAAGAUGCUAAGGUGGGGAACAUCCACAACAACGAAUCAAUGAAACAAUGGGUGCCUAUCACCUUCAAAGAAAAGGACAGUCAGCAACCAGCAGGUACUACAGUUAUGACUGGACCUGACAAGCAAAGCAAUAGUCUCAUACUCUCAUACUUACAGAAAAUGCGAGGGAAGUUCAGGAGAUUAUCAUGAAUGGAAAAAGAUAUUUUGUCCGAGCUCCACUCAUGCCUGAUCCUCUAGUCUAGGCCCAAUCAGCUAUGUCCCAAGUCAGUUACGCAACCUGAAGUUUCUGAAUGACAAACAGCUACCAAUUACCAUCUUUGUCUGCUGAAGCUAUGAACUCAGGUUCUCAGUGUGAAGACAAGCAGAGUCAGAAUUCCAAGAACGCAGGGCUGGAAGUUAUCCCACUGCGCCUGGAAGGAGGAACGGAAGACACAGAAGCUAGUAACGGUGAUGUUUGGAUGCUGGAGGCCUUUAGCUCCAAAGUGACUAAGGACAGUGAAGAUAUCACUCUUAUGCACAACAAUCAUUUAUUUUCUGUUACUGAUGUAAAGGCAGGACCUGUUAACCAGGCCUGCCUCAAAAAUGAGUUGUAUCAAUUGGAACCGUGUCAUGUGUGAAUUUUGCAGGCACAACGCAACGACAUGAAGUUGAAGGAGACUGGAAUUUGGUGUGCUAAAAUUCCUCCUAAAAUAAAAAAUCUGUUAUGGAGAAUUGGUCGAAAUUGCCUACCGACUCAAGAAAGACUUGCAAGUCACGGUGUGAUGUGCCCAGUAAAUUGUGCAGGCUGUGAUGAAGGAAUCGAAGACAACAUCCAUAUGUUUUUCCAGUGCACGCAGAGUUCAAUAUGCUGGCAACGAGUUGGUCUAUGGGAUUUAAUUUGUGCUGGGCUGAACUGAACUAAAACAAUUACUGAAAAUUUGCAUUUUGUCACAAACUUACAUUGCUAUUUAUAACUGUUUUUGCUACAUACCAGAGUGGUAAAUUGAUUAUAAAAGCAUUCAGCUCUGGCAUCUAGUGUAGAAAUAGGCAGUUGUAAUUGGAUUCUAAAUGGUCCAAAGGGGGGAUGUUGCUUAUCUUUCAAGUUCCUGCUUCUUUUCUAGUUCAUUAAUUUAUUCAGAUUUCUCAUCCUUGAGUGAUGCACAAGAUAUUGAGGAUGGGGAUAAUAACUCUGAUCCAACUUCUGGCACGUUAUUACCCCUGACCUGAGUUUUCAAAAUUUGGAUGGAUCCAGACUUAACUCUGAUGAGAAUUUUGAAGAAAAGGAAAAACUGGUUUUCAUAUGCUGAUGUGCUAUAGAGUGUGUCAAAGAUGGCGGCGCUGUUCUUAUUCCUAUUGAUCGACUGGGAACUAUUUUGCAGCUUUUGGAGGAAAUGACAACGUUACACGAAACUUCAGCUAUGGAGGUUCCAAUUUAUAUAAUUUCUUCAGUGGCUAGAAUUACUAGGGUUGCUUAACAUCAUACCAGAGUGGCUUUGUAAACAGCGGCAAGAAAGAGAACGUACCUUUCGAAUUAUGAAUUUGGUCCAUUGCGCUUGCAUGCUAAAAUUUGCAAAUUAUGAAUUUGGUCUAAUUCUUGCAUGCAGUUAUUUGCUGGGGAAUCGUUGUUUGCGCGUGUCAAUCUCCUAAAAGUGAAAAAGAUUCACUAUUCGUUCACAUUCACUUUUGUGAGACUUUUACCUUGUUUUUCCUUUCUCUUCUCUAUUGUCAAAAACAUAUGUUGGUAAUGAAAAUAAUUUGAUCACAUUUAGUUUCCUUUCGCACCUUCUAGAUGCAAAAUCACGUGUUCCUCUAACAAUGUUAAUUGUUUGAGCAAAUUUGUAUUUCCUUACUAAGAGUUUGAGUUUCCAUUAAUAACCUCAGAAUGCAUAAAUCACAAAUGGUUUUGCUUGACAUUUUUAGUGUUAUUUUUUCUCACUUAUGUAUUGUUUGUAAAAAGAAUUGGCAAGAACCCUGCAUGGUAUUUUGUCCCCGCUGGAGUCUGCAUAUUGGUCCCGUUGUUCAUCUGCUUUGACGUUGGUGUGGCAAUACAAAAUCUUUGCUUAUCCUCGAGGAUAUUGCGAAUCCUGAGCUAGCACUCUUACCUUUCAAGCCAGUUGCAAUGAAGGUUCUUCAGUGUUUGUUUCCCUCACGAAUAGGAACAACAACAUAUGGAUGAUUGCAUGGUCUUCUCGGUACCAUAUGUGAAUUUGCUUUUUUUAGUCGGGGACUUGGACUACACUUCAUAUUCAUAUUUCCUCUCUUAUUGUUAGCGACUAGGACUUUUAUAUCACAUUUCUUUUUUUGACUUGGAACCCCCGGUUAAGAAUUCAGAUGAAAAUUUUAAAAAGGUUAACUUCUUUAAAAUUUGGUCAAUACAAAGUGUAGUCCGCUCAUGACAGAUUGAUUUCUGUAUUUAACUUCCCCUCCAUAUUUGUAAGUUGCAGAAAGUUCAACCUUUACUCAAGACACCGCAGCCAAAGAUUGUUCUGGUAAUUGUAAAAUUGUGAAAAGUCUUUCUCAGUUUCAUAUUAUACCGAAGCCGGAACUCUAAAAGUAUCAUGUCAAAAGGACAGUUCAGACUUGAAAAUUGCAGCUGAUUUGGCUUCCCAGUUUUAUUGGAAAACCUUUAAAAGGCCCCAAUGUUGGUUAUAACAAGUUUUGCGCGAAUAACCCCAAUGUUGCACCAAGAACAAAACAACUAAAAAGAUUAACCCAGUGGAUUCAUAAAGACGGAGAUUUGUUCGUGAGAGGUAUCAAUUAAGUAAGGUUGAAGGACUGACGCUACAAAAUGUGAUCGACUAUCUAGGUGAUGUGGAACAACCAGCCACUCUGUAGUUUAGUCUAAAAAGAAGUUAGGAACUUAAACGAAGAUGUGAAUAACUUGCUCUUGUUUUGCGAGUAGAUUUUGAAUUUCGAGGAUGAAAUUUUUUCAAGGGUAGAGUGUAACAACCCAAGUCUAAUUACUAGUAAUAAUAGUAGUAUUAAUUAGAAACUCCAUUUAAAAAAUAAAAUGAUAUU